AUCUACUUUUCUAUCACCCACAUGUACCUGACAUCAAGUCUAAAGCCGGGCUAGUCAUGCUAACCCACUAAUUAUUAAUAAUAACUAUUUUCAAGAGCCUAAUACACUAUGAUCCGGGCACUGACUACACCACGUACACUUAUCUCUAUGAGGUUUAUAGCAUCAUUCCUUUUUUACAAUUGAGGAAACUGAGGCUCAGAAAGGUUAAGUCACUUGCUGCAUUUUACAUAGUUUUGACAUAGUGUUCAUUGUAUUUUUAUGAAUUUUUAAGGGCUGAAAAUAACUCCUUGAGAUGUUUGUGGGGGAACAUAACUGCAAAAUGAAAUCUGUGGUAGAACUAUGUCCUAUAGCUUGCCCUCUCAUUGCUGGCAGAUGGCAAAGUAUUUCUUUGCCUGCUAGCCCUCUGGUGGAAUUGGUCUCCUUGUAUCUGCCGUUGCCUUCUGUGGUACAAACUGCUACUUGUCUCCCAAGGUUCUUUCUUGGUAACAAAAUAGUAGGUUUUAUUAGGAUAAUAAUAGCUGGGCUCAUUGUCCCAGUGGCAGAGGCUGCUGGCUCAUCAUGCCAUGAACCCAUGUCAUCUUCUCGGGCACAGCUAAAUGCCAUUUCUCAGCCAUUUCUCGCAGUUAUAUACAGCCGUGUGCUUGAGUUCUGGCCAUUAGAGAGUGGAAGUGAUAUGUCACUUCUAGUCCUGGCCCUAAGAAACCUCUUCCACUGGUCCUCCAUGCUCUUUCUCUCUCCACAGCUUGAUGCAGAUAAGGCAGAAGCACAAGAAAGAAAGAACUUGGGUCUCUCCAUCACUUCUUGGAGAAGCACCACCUGCCAAUCAAGAACAUCAUUUUGGACUUCAUAUGAUGUCAUGAGGCAAGGGCGGUCUCCAGUACAACACAGCACCCGAUGUGUAGGGAGCCCUCACCAAGUAUUCACUGGACGGAUGAAUGACCUCGCAGGCAAGGUUACUGUCAAUUUGAUGGCACCCAAAGAAAUUUGUCCCAAGUAUGGAAGCACUUUGCGUAGAGUUUGCAAAUCGACAGAGUCUCACUAAGUCACCCAGGC